ACCCCACUGCUAUCGGGAUAGGACUAAGACAUGCUAGUUAGGCGCUCACCAGCCAAAGGUGGGUGCGGCGCACAGCUCAGUAACACGUGGCUAACCUGCCCUUGGGAUAGGGACAACCCCGGGAAACUGGGGCUAAUCCCCAAUAGGCGAAGAGCUCUGGAAUGAGCCUUCACCCGAAAGGAGGCUCACACUAUGCUUGUGGGCUUCGCCCAAGGAUGGGGCCGCGACCGAUCAGGUUGUUGGUGAGGUAAUGGCUCACCAAGCCUAUAACCGGUGCGGGCCGUGGGAGCGGGAGCCCGGAGAUGGGCACUGAGACAAGGGCCCAGGCCCUACGGGGCGCAGCAGUCGCGCAAACUUUGCAAUACACGAAAGUGUGACAGGGUCAUCCCGAGUGCCGACCGCUGAGGUUGGCUUUUACCCAGUCUAGAAAGCUGGGGGAAUAAGGAGAGGGCAAGUCUGGUGUCAGCCGCCGCGGUAAUACCAGCUCUCCGAGUGGUGUGGACGUUUAUUGGGCCUAAAGCAUCCGUAGCUGGCUGAUCAAGUCCCCUGUUAAACCCACCGAUUUAAUCGUUGGUCUGCGGGGGAUACUGUUCGGCUAGGGGACGAGAGAGGCAGACGGUAUUCCCGGGGUAGGGGUGAAAUCCUAUAAUCCCGGGAAGACCACCAGUGGCGAAGGCUGUCUGCUAGAACGCGCCCGACGGUGAGGGAUGAAAGCUGGGGGAGCGAACCGGAUUAGAUACCCGGGUAGUCCCAGCUGUAAACGAUGCAGACUAGGUGUUUGGACGGCCACGUGCCGUUCUAGUGCCGCAGGGAAGCUGUUAAGUCUGCCGCCUGGGGAGUACGAUCGCAAGAUUGAAACUUAAAGGAAU
rnacentral:rRNA from 1 species